rnacentral:rRNA from 1 species
GAUGAACGCUGGCGGCGUGCCUAACACAUGCAAGUCGAACGGAGUUAUUUGAAAGCUUGCUUUCAGAUAACUUAGUGGCGAACGGGUGAGUAACACGUGGGUAACCUGCCCUAAACACAGGGAUAACAAUGAGAAAUCAUUGCUAAUACCAGAUAAGCUUACGAAGUCACAAGACUUAGUAAGAAAAGAUUUAUCGGUUUAGGAUGGGCCCGCGUCUGAUUAGCUAGUUGGUGAGGUAAUGGCUCACCAAGGCGACGAUCAGUAGCCGACCUGAGAGGGUGAUCGGCCACAUUGGGACUGAGACACGGCCCAAACUCCUACGGGAGGCAGCAGUGGGGAAUAUUGCACAAUGGGGGAAACCCUGAUGCAGCAACGCCGCGUGAAGGAAGAAGGUUUUCGGAUCGUAAACUUCUAUCGAUGGGGAAGAAUAAAUGACGGUACCCAAGUAAGAAGCCCCGGCUAACUACGUGCCAGCAGCCGCCGUAAAAC